rnacentral:lncRNA from 1 species
CUUCAGCCUCCCCCAGUCGCUAGCCCGAAAGGCGCUCCCUCCUGGUCGCGGCCGGGCAGGCACAGGUGGCCUGGAAAAUUGCUAAUUGAGCAACACAAACCUCUCCAGGGCCCAGGGCCCGGCCCUAACCAAGGAAGGAACCAUUACCAACGCCCGAGGUCACUGGUGAUCGCGCAUUUUCUACAGCAAAGCCUGGCAGGAUCCUAACCGGUUCGAGAGGCGCUACGAACCUCAAGUUCGAUGGCCGCAGACUUGACCACACUUUCAAGGACGCCUGGGCGCCUUCCUUGCGUUCCCCUUCGGGGGACCCACCCCGCCCGGCAUCCGGGAAAGCGCCCCUUUCUCUCCGGGCGGCCAGACCCGGUCCAGCCCGGCACCCCCGGCUGUCCACCUGCGGGAGGGGGCAGCGUCACCCCGCCCGGACUCCCGGAGGUCCCGGCAGAGGAGCGGCCUGUGGCGGCCGCCCAGUCCUACCUGCGGGGCUGUGGACGGCAGCCUGGGCGCGCUGGUGGUCAGCCAUCCCGCGGCUGGCAGCGCCACGAACAGCAACAGCCGGACGGGCAGCGGCGCCGACAGGGCGCCCUCCAUCUUGGACAACACCGGCGCCGGGCGGCGGGAGGAUCUCGAAACAGUAGCGUAGGCUAGCCUUGAACUACUUACUGAUCCUGCUGCGUCGACCUCCUCAGUGCUGGAAUUGCAGACGUGUGCCACCCUCUCACCUCAACCUUGAUGGUGCUUUUUCAUUACUAUCAAUAUGUUCAUAUACUUACAAGCACAACUAGUGUCUUAUAAACUGACAGGAAUGAAAAAUAAAAAGUUAGCACUUGGA